rnacentral:rRNA from 1 species
UACAGAGGUGGCAAGCGUUGUUCGGAAUUACUGGGCGUAAAGCGUGCGCAGGCGGUUUGCUAAGACAGGUGUGAAAUCCCCGGGCUUAACCUGGGAACUGCGCUUGUAACUGGCAAGCUAGAGUGUGGCAGAGGGGGGUGGAAUUCCACGUGUAGCAGUGAAAUGCGUAGAGAUGUGGAGGAACACCGAUGGCGAAGGCAGCCCCCUGGGCUAACACUGACGCUCAUGCACGAAAGCGUGGGGAGCAAACAGG